rnacentral:rRNA from 1 species
GAUGAACGCUAGCUACAGGCUUAACACAUGCAAGUCGAGGGGAAACGACAUCGAAAGCUUGCUUUUGAUGGGCGUCGACCGGCGCACGGGUGAGUAACGCGUAUCCAACCUGCCCACCACUUGGGGAUAACCUUGCGAAAGUAAGACUAAUACCCAGUGACGUCUCUAGAAGACAUCUGAAAGAGAUUAAAGAUUUAUCGGUGAUGGAUGGGGAUGCGUCUGAUUAGCUUGUUGGCGGGGUAACGGCCCACCAAGGCGACGAUCAGUAGGGGUUCUGAGAGGAAGGUCCCCCACAUUGGAACUGAGACACGGUCCAAACUCCUACGGGAGGCAGCAGUGAAGAAUGUGGGUCAAUGGGCGAGAGCCUGAACCAGCCAAGUAGCGUGCAGGAUGACGGCCCUAUGGGUUGUAAACUGCUUUUAUAAGGGAAUAAAGUGAGUCUCGUGAAACUUUUUGCAUGUACCUUAUGAAUAAGGACCGGCUAAUUCCGUGCCAGCAGCCGCCGUAA